rnacentral:sRNA from 1 species
AGGAGGAGGAGCGCAAUGACGCGAAGCGGCAUUUUUGAAAUGCGCUCCGACGAGCUGCCUCGACCCGAACGGGUCGUGGCGAUACCUUAA